UACGUAGGGGGGCAAGCGUUGUCCGGAAUCAUUGGGCGUAAAGAGCGUGUAGGCGGUCCGGCAAGUCGGCUGUGAAAGUCCAGGGCUCAACCCUGGGAUGCCGGUCGAUACUGCCGGACUAGAGUUCGGAAGAGGCGAGUGGAAUUCCCGGUGUAGCGGUGAAAUGCGCAGAUAUCGGGAGGAACACCAAUGGCGAAGGCAGCUCUCUGGGACGGUACUGACGCUGAGACGCGAAAGCGUGGGGAGCGAACAGG
rnacentral:rRNA from 1 species